rnacentral:lncRNA from 1 species
GGUUGGUGCAUUACAUGAGAGUUUAAUUUUGUACUUUUAAAAAGAAGUUCAAUAUACUGCAUAUAAUUUCUAAUCACAUUUUCUUCUUUGGUUUUGAUCAUUUCAGUCUAUAUGUCACAAUUGGACAGAUGAAGAUUGUAUAAAAUUUUUAAGAAACUGUCACAAAGCUUUGCCAGCACAUGGAAAAGUGAUUGUUAUGGACUAUAUAAUUCAAGAGGUUCCGAAUUCAAGUGAUGCAUCUAAACAUAGUAGUAUUGUGGACAAUCACAUGCUUUUAGCACAUGGAGGGAGGGAAAGAACUGAGAUUGAAUUUGAGAACUUGUGCAAGAACUCUGGCUUUUCCAAGUUUCAUGUUGCAUGUACUAGCAUAUCAGCUGUGGGAGUGAUGGAGUUCUAUAAAUAGAGUUUUUCAGGAGUUUUCAAGCAAAAAUAGAGUUUUGGAGUAGUAAUCAACAUAUGCAAGCAAUCUUGAAUAAUUAUUUUUUUUUGGAAAAGUGAAUGUAGCAAUUAAUAAAGUGGCAUGUAAUAUUUGAGUGUUCAAUAUUGAAUAUACUACAAAUAUAUGUUAUUCAUAAAAUACAUAUAGCACCCGUUCAAAAAAGGCACAUGAUAAAACAAUAUUUUCCUGUCUUUUAACUUGUGAAAAUUUACCAAUUUUUAAGUAGUCCUAAGAAUGUAUGUUUUUUUUAUAUCAUAAUUUGAUUUGAGAUUUAAACACUAAAUAGUGUCUGAUCUGGUUUUGGACAACUUGCAUGAAGAGACCAUAGAAGAGGAAACAUGUUGAGUUUUAAGCAAAAGAUCUUUGACAUACACAUACUUGCGUUGAGUCAUAACCAAAAACUUGUUUAACUCAUACUGAAUUUCUAUGCCUAAAAGAUAGUUUAGUAUCACCAAUUACUCAAGAGAAAAAUUAGAGUUCAAACUAUGAGAGAUUUGUUGAACGAGAAAAGCAAUUGUACUCGUAAUGAUAAUAUCAACAACAUAUACCAAUAUGUAAAUAAUUGUGGAUCAAACGUUAACUUUUAUAUUAGAAUUUGGUAUGCAAGAGAUAAAACGUAAGAAACUGAAAUUGGUUAUUAUUAUCAUUCGUUACUUUCUGAGAACGAAAGAGAAACCAAUUAAUUAUUUGUUUUGGUAAUUGUGUAUCACAAUUACUAAACUAUAGUUUAUGCUGUUGUAGGUAUAAUGAUGUUUUAUAUUUUCCCUCCUUGUUAUAUAUAUAUAUAUAUAUAUAUUUUAAUCAAUUUUAAGAAACAAAGAAUUAUUAAUUUUUAUAUUAAUAAAAUUAGAUAUUAUUUUAAAGAUUAAAAAUAAUUAUUGGUAUUUAAAUUAGUUUUUAUUUUUGAUAAAUAGUUUCUAAAUUGGUUUCUAAUUAACUAUCUAAGUUUUAACUACCAAUUAUUUAGAUUUUAAAGUUGAUAUCUAAAACCUUGAUAUCUAAUUAGACGUCAGUUUAAAAAUUAUUUAGUAAUAACAAAAACUAAUUUAGAUAUCAAUAAUAUUUUUAGUUUCUAAAAUAAUAUCUAAUUUUUUUAAUAUAGUAAUUAAUUAUUUUUUUUUCUAAAAUUAGUUUACACAAAUUUAUAGUCUCUAAAAUGGUCUCUAAUUCAGUAACUAUAACAAUUAAUUAUUAUUUUUUUCUAUUUCAUGUAGGUAAUUUUAUUCAUUUCUAAUUGAGUUAGCAAAAGCAUAAUAUAUAUAAUAUAUGUAAUUUAGUUCAACCUUCAUGUCAAAACAAAACAUAUGGAACUUGACUUUUCUUAUUUGGGAGAAAGUCCUAAACAAGAAGUUUCAUUUUACAGAAUACCUCAGCACUAGGCCAAACCACUCAUUUCCUUAUCAAGCCAUUUUUUUUCCAAAGAUUGCCAAUUUUUUCCCAAAGAUUUUUUGACUUGUGAGACAAUUUUAGACUAAUUGAAAGGUUCUCCACCACAAUAAAUUUGAAGGGAAAUUAGAGAUAUUAAUUUAAUUUAUAUUUCACUGUAAAAAUUUACAAAAGAUACAAUUUUACACGUCAGAGUAUUUUUUUUUUUUUAUUUUCCUCUCUUAAUUAGUGUUAGAAUUUGUUGGUUGAUAAUUGUUAAUGCCACUGGUUAAAACGUCAGUAUCCCCCAAAUUUCUUUAUUUUUUUUUGAAGAAAUAUGUUUGCUCCCUAAUACUUUAAUGCAUUAUGACUUAUCAUUUUAUAUUUAUCAUAAAAAAGUCUUUUUUUUAACCAUUAUUGACACACUCUGGUCUAAAUAAUACACAUAUUUAAAUCUACAUGAUAUACUCUAUUUAUAAAAUCAUUGAAAAUGUUUUUUUAUAAGUUAUAGUCUUCAUUUUAUGUUAUAUUAACAUAUUUUAUGAAAUUAUUGAAAAAUAAAUAAACAAAUAAUUUGAUACUUCGAUAGAAGCCUCAUGCACAUGCUAUCUCAAAUAAUUUAUAUGGUAAGAGUACAUUAGAUUUUAAUAUACCCUUUUACCUUUCUUAGCUUUUAGUUAAAUAUAAGAAUAAAGUUCAUAUUUUAAUUAGCUGUUAAUAUUUUUAAAAUAUUCUUUUAUAAAUUAGAGUCUUAAUUUUAUCUUAUAUUUAUAUAUUUGAAUAAAAUAGUUUUAUCAAAUUAGUUUUUAAACUUAUAUUCCAACGAUGAAGAUGUAAUGAAGAAGCAUGUGAUGCCUAUAUAAACAUCACAAAAACUACACAAAGUACACAACAAUAAACAGUAGUGAGAAUGGGUUCAAACUCCAAAGAGAUUGAAGUUCCCUUGGAAGUAGAAAAGGUUGAUGAUUCAUACCUUUCUGCUUUGUUGCUUUGUUUCAGCAAUGUUCUUCCUGCAGUUCUAAAUGCUGCCAUAGACAUGAAUCUGUUUGAUGUGAUAGCAAAGGCAAAGAGUUGUUGUGAUGAUGCAAGUUUUUCUGCCUCUCAAAUUGCCUCUUUGAUUCCAAAUGAGCACCCUCAAUUGGCUAAUAGGCUUGAAAGAAUGCUGCCAUUGUUGGCCAGUUACUCUCUUCUGCAUUGCUCCAUUCGCAGCAAUGAAGAUGGUAAGAGAGAAAGAGUUUAUGCUCUCUCACCUGUUGGACAAUACUUUUCUUAUGAUGAUGAAGGAAACUCUGUGGCUCCACUCUCAACUUUAUUUCAUCGCGGAUUUCAUAACCUUUGGUAAUUAAUACUUUCAUUUUACUUCUAAUUUCUUGGUUUAGUUUUUUUAGGGUUUAGGAUUUAUUCUCUAAAUUGAUGAAAAUCCAACCAUUGAGUUGUAUUGUUUAAGAAUUCAUUUCUUCAUAUUUUUUUUUAAAUUUUAACCCAAUCUUUUUAAGAUUUUCAAUUCAUUUUUUUCUUGUAAAAAAAAUUGUAACACCACAUUUUGGAUUUUACAAUCUAAAAAGUAAUUCUGAAUCUAGAAAUAUUGUUCGUAUUAUAUAAUUUAAAAUACAUUGUACAAUACAAAAUAGAAAAAAAAAAGUAAUUCACAAGCUAUUAUGGAAUUCAAGGACACCUUUCGAAUUCUGUAGUUUAAAUUGAAUUUUUUAAAGAAAAAAAAAAGUAUAUUUCGGAUGAUAGAAUCAGGGAGAGGUAUAAAUAGAAAAAAUAACAGUUUUUAAAUUGUACAAAAGUAUUUUUUAAGAACAAAAUAAUCUUUUUUACUGAUCUAUGGUUGCCCGGAGAAGCUACAAAGUUCCAAGAAGAAACAACUUAUUUCUAUGAUCAAUUUGAUAUUAAGAUACAAAAAUAUAUUUGUAACACUUAUAUUUUGAAUGGUACAAUUUGAAAAGUAAUUUUGAAUAUAGAAAAAAUUCUGAGUGGUAUAAGUCAUGGACUUGUAAUAUGAUUUCAUAUCAUUUGUGCUCUUACUAGGAAGGAUGCAAAAGGUGCAUAUCUGGACCCGAAUUGCAGUAACCAUUUCGAAAGUGUUUAUGGAAUGCUCCCAUUUGAAUAUAUGGAGAAAGAUACAAAGUUGAAUGAAAUGUUUUUCAAAGCAAUGGCUCAUGCUAGUCCAAUAGAAGUUAAAAGGGUAAUCAAAGUAUAUAAAGGAUUUGAGGGGUUGUCAACAUUGGUUGAUGUAGGAGGUGGAAUAGGACAUACCCUCAAACUCAUUCUCUCUACGUACCCUUCAAUUAAAGGACUUAAUUUUGAUUUGCCUCGGACAAUUCAAGAUGCACCUCCUCAUCCAGGUACAUUUAUGCUACUCUUAAAUUGUAUGUUCGUAUUGGACACACACGUAUCGAAUAUUGAUAUGCGUAUGACACUUGUAUGACAUUUGUAUGACACAUAUCGAUGAAGUGUCUAAUUCAAAAAAUAUCUUUUAGAUCUUUGACAAUUCUAGCAUGGUUCCAAAAUAAUUUUAAAAAAACAAAUACAGUGAUAUUCUAAAAACUCAAACGUAUUGUAUAAGUUUUUAUUAUGAUUAUAGAAAUAAGGAACAAAUCUUUUUGAAUUAACCAUGAAAAACAUCUUUAUGCCACAAAGAAUAAAAUUCAGCCAUAUUUAUUCACAUAAAUCUUGAUUAUCAACUUAUAUAAUUCAUAAUUAUAUUAUAUAUACAUCCAUGUCCUUUGUGUCUUAGAUUGAAAAUUACACGUAUCAAAGUAUCCGUGUCUAUGUCGUGUGCAAUGUCUGUGUCAGUGUAUGUUAUACAUAGCUAGUUUUUUUUUUCUAUACAUAAAAGAAAUUACCAAUAUUUUAAAAUUUUGUAACAAUUAUGAAUUAGCAAAUUAACACUUAUUCUGCAUGAAGGUAUAGAGCAUGUGGGAGGAGAUAUGUUUGAAAGUGUUCCAAAUGGGGAUGCCAUUUUAGUAAAGGUUGGUACAUUACAUGAGAGUUUAAUUUUAUACUUUUGAAGAGAAGUUCAAUAUAUAGUAUAAAAUUUAUAAUCACAUUUUCUUCUUUGGUUUUGGUCAUUUCAGCGUGUAUGUCACAAUUGGGGAGAUGAAGAUUGUAUAAAAUUUUUAAGAAACUGUCACAAAGCUUUGCCACCACAUGGAAAAGUGAUUGUUAUGGACUAUAUAAUUCUAGAGGUUCCAAAUUCAAGUGAUGCAUCUAAGCAUAGUAGUAUUGUGGACAAUCACAUGCUUUU